ACACUCCUACGGGAGGCAGCAGUGGGGAAUUUUGGACAAUGGGCGAAAGCCUGAUCCAGCAAUGCCGCGUGAGUGAAGAAGGCCUUCGGGUUGUAAAGCUCUUUUGUCAGGGAAGAAACGGUGAAAGCUAAUAUCUUUUGCUAAUGACGGUACCUGAAGAAUAAGCACCGGCUAACUACGUGCCAGCAGCCGCGGUAAUACGUAGGGUGCAAGCGUUAAUCGGAAUUACUGGGCGUAAAGCGUGCGCAGGCGGUUUUGUAAGUCUGAUGUGAAAUCCCCGGGCUCAACCUGGGAAUUGCAUUGGAGACUGCAAGGCUAGAAUCUGGCAGAGGGUGGUAGAAUUCCACGUGUAGCAGUGAAAUGCGUAGAUAUGUGGAGGAACACCGAUGGCGAAGGCAGCCCCCUGGGUCAAGAUUGACGCUCAUGCACGAAAGCGUGGGGAGCAAACAGGAUUAGAAACCCGUGUAGUCCCAUGA
rnacentral:rRNA from 1 species